GCGAAACAAACAAAGUAUAAAAGAUGAAAUACUAGAUUAGGCUAAAUAUCAAGGGAGGAUUCAAUAAUUCUUCAAAAGCAUUUAUUGCCCUCUUAAUCAUAUUUAUUUAUAUUUAGGACUCUGAUUAAAAAUGCUCAAAUAAAGACACAUAUCAUAUUCACUUUAUGAACACUCUCUCUCAAUGAUAUUUCCAAUAAGUUUUGUAGUUAUAGAUCAGCUGCAAAGUUUUACCAUAUGUGGAUUCUGCUUUCAUGGUGGAAGCUGCUUAUAUUACAUCCAUUACAGCUAAAUCCAGACCAGAGUUCCAUCACUGGAAGUAAACAAAGUUUGAAAUCAUAAUGAUUCACAACUAUUCAUCCCAUUCUCUGCUCCUCAUCACUCUAUGAGUACUUUAUUGCUGUUUCUGGUAUGUGAUGUGGUCAGCAGAAUUUAAGUUCUUAAACUUCUUUCUCACCAUUGAAUGUUCCACAUAAGUUUCAGUAUAGAUAAAUAUGAUCACUGUACAUGUGAGCUGUCAUAUUCAACGAUUGAAGCAUUGCUUCUCCUCUUUUGUUGAAAUUAAAUACUGAUAUGCCACCGUUGUUCACAUCAAUUGCCCGAAACCUGAACCAACAAAAGUGUUUCUAAGGCUGAAUGCUAAUAAAAUGUAGCAGCAAUGUACCAUCACCAUUGUAAUAUGAUGAGCAUGGCAAUCGCAAUUCACAAAUGAUUCCUGGCCCAGGGCAGAAACUUUCUUAGCAAUCUGACUCCAAUAAAAUAGUAUCAGACUUUAUGGUAAAAAACUGACAAAGCAGCCCUAAAAGACUUUGUUCCUGAAUCACUAUUAAAUAUCUCACAAUGAUCAAUUGAAAUCACUGCCCUGUUGAUUGCAGUUAUGAGAAGAAGACUAUCACAUACCUCUCAGGGCCUAGCCCCAAAGCUGUGCAGAUUAGUGCCCUCAAGAUUGACUUGUGAGUGACAACCAAAAAAUUUUCACCCUGAUGCAUGAGAAAGAUUCUUAUAUUGCUUCUAUAGUUAUACCAUCAUUUCUUUAAACAUUAAUAACAAUAGGAAGGAAAAGUGAAGAGCUCACAGGAGAAAGCAAAAUUUCUCUCCAAGCUUCUUGAGCUGUCCCCCAUAGUUUUCGCACGGGGUAGACACCAUUCACAUAAAAAUUAGCAGGAUCCUCUCUCCAUGUUGUAUAUUCCUUUGGAUAUCUCUCUCUAGCAUCCACUGCCUCCGAAUACUGAACGUGGUUUAGUCAUAUAGAAAUUGUAGGAAGAAUAAAAGUUCAGCACUGUUCUAAAGCUCUAAACUAGUAUCAAUGAGUUUGGAGCUAGCUAGAAACAGACUUUCAUAAUUAAAAUUGACCAUGUUAUGAACAAGUGAACAUCAUAUUAAACCAAAACAUGAUAGUUUGAUGGAUGUGUGACGAGGAACAAACAUUUAAGAAAGAACAACUUGACUAAACAAACACAAUAAAAGGGGACAGACCAUUUCUCAUGCCUUCAAGGAAAAACAGAUGAGCCUCCUUCAGUGAAUCAAGGAAAACCAGUGGCUCUUCCUUCCCUUGCCAUAUGACUUCAGCACUGGACUUGGCACGAGAUAUUGGACUUGAAAAGCAACAAUCAAAAUGCAUAUUUUCUAAGGCUUGCCUACACCUCUCUGCUUGCCUCACUCCAGUUUCAGUUAAGACAGAUAAGUUUGAGCUUCCCUGAACUCUACCCUCUUUAUUCCAAGAGCUAAGCCCAUGCCUUAUAAGAGUUACCCUCUUUGGUGAUGACAACAAUUUCUGAGUAAGCGAUAUUGUUGCACUGUCAAAACCAUAUGCACCACCAGUGAUGGAAGCAUCAUUUUGAACCAUCUCUGUUGCUAAGGGAACUUCUGGACUAGAAUUUGAGCAUUGAAUUCCAAGUCUGGUAGAGCAUUUAGCAGGCCUGCUUGAAUUAUAUAUGGAAUUCAAGCUUGAACACAGAGGGACUUCGAAGGCGAGAACUCCACAAACCAUCUUGCUGUGAGGUGGAUUCAAACGUCAAAGGCUCAAAGCUUGUGAAUAUAAUAAUUAUGGACACUGUUUCUUUCUAGUUUUAUUCUGGUUAAGGUCCCAUUAGGCUCUCCAACCAUGUUAGAUAGUUUCCAUAUAAGUAUUUAUGAGGGGAAUUAUUUACUGAGGAGCAUCAUAGCUGGUGAUAAGAUAGCCUUCUUGAUCAAUGGAAGGUGGGGACAGAGCAAUCUGUUUGAUUUGUGGAGAUCAAUUGGCGUGGAAUCUGGCAUUUAUUCGAAGUGAUUCUUGUCCUUACAUUCAUUUUCAUCUUGGAUAUACCAACUUGGGAAUGGAAGAUUCGCGGAUGGCAUGCCCUCCAGCUGAAAAUUGAAGGUUG
rnacentral:misc_RNA from 1 species